GACGAACGCUGGCGGCGUGCUUAACACAUGCAAGUCGAACGGAGAGGCCCUGCUUUUGUGGGGUACUCGAGUGGCGAACGGGUGAGUAACACGUGAGUAACCUGCCCUUGACUUUGGGAUAACUUCAGGAAACUGGGGCUAAUACCGGAUAGGAGCUCCUGCUGCAUGGUGGGGGUUGGAAAGUUUCGGCGGUUGGGGAUGGACUCGCGGCUUAUCAGCUUGUUGGUGGGGUAGUGGCUUACCAAGGCUUUGACGGGUAGCCGGCCUGAGAGGGUGACCGGCCACAUUGGGACUGAGAUACGGCCCAGACUCCUACGGGAGGCAGCAGUGGGGAAUAUUGCACAAUGGGCGGAAGCCUGAUGCAGCAACGCCGCGUGCGGGAUGACGGCCUUCGGGUUGUAAACCGCUUUCGCCUGUGACGAAGCGUGAGUGACGGUAAUGGGUAAAGAAGCACCGGCUAACUACGUG
rnacentral:rRNA from 1 species